rnacentral:rRNA from 1 species
ACUCCUACGGGAGGCAGCAGUGGGGAAUAUUGGGCAAUGGGGGAAACCCUGACACAGCAACGCCGCGUGAAGGAAGAAGGUCUUCGGAUCGUAAACUUCUAUCCUUGGUGAAGAUAAUGACGGUAGCCGAGAAGGAAGCCCCGGCUAACUACGUGCCAGCAGCCGCGGUAAUACGUAGGGGGCAAGCGUUGUCCGGAAUGAUUGGGCGUAAAGGGCGCGUAGGCGGCCUGGUAAGUCUGGAGUGAAAGUCCUGCUUUUAAGGUGGGAAUUGCUUUGGAUACUGCUGGGCUUGAGUGCAGGAGAGGUAAGUGGAAUUCCCGGUGUAGCGGUGAAAUGCGUAGAGAUCGGGAGGAACACCAGUGGCGAAGGCGACUUACUGGACUGUAACUGACGCUGAGGCGCGAAAGUGUGGGGAGCAAACAGGAUUAGAUACCCUGGUAGUC